rnacentral:rRNA from 1 species
AGUUGCUGCAGUUAAAAAGCUCGUAGUUGAACGUUCGGGUUCCGCGGGACGGGGCCGCCCCGCGAGGGACGGCGCCGCCCCGGGGCUCGUGAUAUCUUAUCUCGCCGCCCGUCGCGAGGCGGACGGAGGGAUGGAUGAGGUUACCUGGAAAAAUCGGGGCGAUCUAGGCGGGCGAACCUCGCCAACGAACGAUCGGACAUGGGAUAACGGAAGAGGGCGUCGGCUCGACUUCGUCGGUUCCUCGGGGCCGAGGCACGUACGGUGAAUAGGGGACGGUCGGGGCCGCCCGUACCGGGUCGUGAGAGGUGAAAUUCUAGGAUCGACCCGAGACGAACUGCCGCGAAAGCAUUCGGCAAGGACGCUUUCAUUAAUCAAGAACGAAAGUCGGGGGAUCGAAGACGAUCAGAUACCGUCGUAGUCCCG